CCAGACAAUAAUCGAGGGGGCCCGAGAUCUCGUUCUAGAUCUAGCUCUAUCUCUUCAAUGUCUUCAGCAAGUGAGAGCAGCUCUGGGCAUGGUUGAUUUAACCAUCGCAAUCGUCAACUGAAAAGGAAAAAUGAAAUUCCUCAAACCUCAGUAAAACGAAAAACAGAAUCACAAGCUGGACUAACUCCUGGAGACGCUAAUCUCAAGCAGUAAAGGACCUACAUUUAUUUGCACGGUCACUGAUUUUUAAAAAGUGGUUUCACAGAAGGGAAUUGGAGGAAUUCUCAACAGCAGAAGAAAGGGCAGCACUUCGCAUUUUGGAUGAACUGUUACUGGAACAGGACACACCCCUAGAACAGCAGAGACACCACUGAACUACUACAAAGGAUCGAGGGAAUCCAUCUAGAACCGGAUACCCUAUUGGUCACUUUGGACAUUGAGUCAUUGUAUACCAAUAUUCGACAUACAGACGGCAUUACAGCAGCACAAUUUUUCCUGG